GCAAGUCGAACGGUAACUGGUUACGCCGAGGAGUGGGGAACGGGAGACCUUUUUAUCCCAACCUGCCCAGCCGUGAUGGACAAGGUAAAGUAAUUUACGCUACUACCGUAAACCAUCUUAGGAUUAUAGCAGGGGAUCGCAAUAUCUCGCGCGAUUGGGGCGGUUGAUAUCAGAUUAUGUUGUUGGAGAUGUAAGAUCUCCCCAGGCCUACCAUCUGUAGCUGGUUUGAGAGAACUACCCGCCACACUGGCACUGAUACGCGGCCCACACUCCUACGGGACGCAACAGUGGGGAAUUGUGGACAAUGGGCGAAAGUCUGAUCCACCUGUGCCGCGCGCGGGAAGAGGGCCUUCGGGUGGUAAACUGUUUUUGUACGGAACGAAAAAGUCUGCCCUAAUACAGUGGCCUCAUGACAUGACCGUACGAAUAAAAACCGGAUCACUACAUGCCAGCACCCCCGGAGAUACGUAACGUGCGAGCGAUUAUUUGAAUUACUGGGCUGCGAGCGUGGGCUG
rnacentral:rRNA from 1 species